rnacentral:rRNA from 1 species
GUUAGGAAUAUUGGACAAUGGGCGAAAGCCUGAUCCAGCCAUGCCGCGUGAACGAUGAAGGCCUUCGGGAUGUAAAGUUCUUUAGCCGAUGAUUAUAAUGACUGUAGUCGGAAAAUAAGCCCCGGCUAACUUCGUGCCAGCAGCCGCGGUAAUACGAAGGGGGCGAGCGUUAUUCGGAAUUACUGGGCGUAAAGCGUGCGUAGGCGGUUUUGUAAGUUAGGAGUGAAAGCCCAGGGCUCAACCUUGGAAUUGCUCUUAAAACUGCAAGGCUCGAAUCUCGGAGAGGAUAGCUGAAUGUCCAGUGUAGCAGUGAAAUGCGUAGAUAUUGGAAGGAACACCAGUGGCGUAAGCGGCUAUCUGGACGAGUAUUGACGCUGAGGCACGAAAGCGUGGGGAUCAAACAGGAUUAGAUACCCUAGUAGUUC